rnacentral:rRNA from 1 species
GACGAACCGUGCGAACGUUGUUCGGAAUCACUGGGCUUAAAGGGCGCGUAGGCGGGCCUCCAGGCCCGCGGUGAAAUCCCCCGGCUCAACCGGGGAAGUGCCGCGGGGACCGGAGGUCUCGAGUGGGGUAGGGGCGCGCGGAACUGUGGGUGGAGCGGUGAAAUGCGUUGAUAUCCACAGGAACUCCGGUGGCGAAGGCGGCGCGCUGGACCCUUACUGACGCUGAUGCGCGAAAGCCAGGGGAGCGAACGGG